CUUUAUGUAGGGCUUAUGUAGUAUUUACAAAGUGGUUGGGUUUAAUUUGACUAACAAAAGCAUCCUGGUGGGUCGUGGUUAGUCCGAUCACGUAAAACUCCCCUCACAACGGAAGCAGGGUUUAUAUGGCCGCCCUCAGAUUCGAAUUUUCGCCCCGCGGCCAUAGUUGGUAAGGUUUUGCGCCAUUAGAAUUUAUUCAAACUUUGGAAGGUAUUAUAUUGAGGAAGAAGAAUCUUGCAUCAUAUAAUUUGUAUAAUUGGGUACUUCUGGCGCUAGUCUAUCUAUAUCCAAGCAAAAAACAGUACGUUUAUCUUUGAAUUUUAAUAUCUCAUAUGUGGACUGAAUCCCGGCAGAAUCCUUGAAUGAAGCGAUCGAUCCAGUCUGAAUGCAAACAAACGAGUUGAAAAUUAAGCUUACCUAUUAGAGCUUAGCGAGGACGAGAAAAUAAUAUGACCAUAAUUUGCAUUUUCGUUGUUAAAAGAGGCAGCUGGUCUUUCUUUUUAUAGUCAUGCGAAACCUUUUUUUGGACCAGACGGAACAAUAUUUUGAAUAUAUCAAGGACAUGUACCUAACUGUAAUGACAAGUGCAAGCUGUUCGCCGUUGAUAAACUCCCCGCUUCUUCAGGUUAAAACUAACUCAGAGCUCGCGGAAAAAAGCAAUUAGUGAAAUUAAAUUUCAACUGGGUGUUUAUUGCUUUGUUAUUUUGAAAAGUUUACCAACGGCGGCGAAUUGAUAGAUUGCUUGGCAACAAACAAAAAAAGAGGAAGUGGUUGAAAAGUACGCAGGAAGAGGGAAGCCCACAAAGUGAAAUGAUAUCAACGCCCGUGGUUCAUUACAGCAUGCGUUAGUUCUGUUCUGCUAUUCCUCAAUAGGUCAGUGCUUGUGUACUGAAAAAUUCUUCACGAAUGAGGUAACAUAUCUUCACACAGAAAAUCAAGGAAUAACUUAAGAACUUUUUAACAGUCGAAGUUCCACUGCGAUCUUGACAGGGCAAGCGCUUGUUUCAACAAGAAAGGUGAAGCUUUUGGCGCAAAACGUGAUAAUCCUACACGAAGAACCUGUUGUUAUUGUUGGGGCAAGUUGUCGACGCAUAUCGGGUUUCCAUGAAGUUGAUUUUCGUCUAAAGUUUCGUACGAGUUUUGCGAUAUAAAAGGACUGCGAGAAGAUGACUCCAUUAAACGGGCGAUGUUUGCUCUUUCUCGUAUAUUUUUCCACCUUCCUUGCUUGGAGCGACGAAUCAUCGAAUGCAGAUUAUUCGCGUGCGAGGGCAUCAUUUGAAGGUAUGUCUUAAAUCAUGCAUGCGUAUAGAGAGAGUACUUAUAUCCGUACUCGCUAUUCUUCUGUCCCAACUGAAAGAAUGUAAGCCUCACGUGAAGAUUACCUCGUUGAAAGGUUCUGCGUUCUUGCAAGAAUUCUUUCUGUGGGUUCCCCGAUGUUUUGGCGAAACUUUGUUUUAAUAUCAAGUUGUUUUCCGAGAGGCCCAAAUAAAGGCAGAUAGUUGAAGAGCUUUGUUUUGGAAACGUAGUGCCUCUUAAACUUUGUAUUCCAUCAAUAAACCCUCGCAGCUGGAGGGAAUCGCAAAAAUUACUCAACAAUAGUGAAACGGUUUGUAUAUUUCCCACGAAGGGACAGAAAUCCCUUUGUGUUGAAAUGGCCUUAACGCGAAGAACCUAUACUACCGGAAAAUUAACUCACACCAAAAAAUCAAUAUGGCGUUGUCUGGCGACGUUAAGUGUGUUUUUAGUUGAUAAAUUUUCAUCGCGAUGUAACUGAAUUAUUUGAUAUUGAUCAAUGUAUUUUGGACCGCUAAACGAUAAGGUAUUAGUUACGAUUUUUAAUCCAGCGCGCAUUCGAUCGCUUACUACAGUGUGCUGGCCUUCAUCAUGAGUUAAUUUUUAUUUGUAAUAAAAAUCUUGCGAAGUAAUUUAAAACACCAGCAUGCAAAUAUCGUCAUUGAUCCACCAUAAAAGAAUGAAAUGCAAAUUUACUGUAUUUUUGUGAUUUAGGAUGCUUUGUUUAGAAUUGAAUGGAAAGUUCACGACUUGUGCACUCUGCAAAUGCCCUGUGUUAAAUUGACUGCCAGUUAGAUUUAUGAAUCGUGAUUAUGUCCGUGAAACCUUCUCUGCAGCGUGAAAUAUAAGACGAGAUACCUCGGAAAAGCAAUCUGGUGUCAAUUAGCUUUUCAUCAACAUUUCAUUUACGAGAUUGUUAAGUAAACAGAAAAGGCUUAACGAAAAUUACCUUGAAACUAAGAACGCGCUUUUCAUUCAAAAGGGGUUCAUUUUAUAGUGUCGAUUUCUUCCUACCUCUGACAAAACUAAUAACUGAUUCAUUCAGAUGUAUAGUCGAGGCUUAGUACACAGAGUGCAGAGCUUAAGAAUCAACAACGAAGCUUCUGUUGUCUCUUUGAAGUGAUAGAAAACAAACCCCUUUCUUAGAUGGUUUAGAGUCAGGACUGUUAAAGUGGGGAUGGGUGGCACAACUCCCAUAGAAUUUCCCUGGUAGCCUUGGACACUCUGAUCUUCCAAUGUGAUUAACAUAGAAGUUCUCCUUAAAAUGUCAAGACAAUAUAGUGAAUCUGUUUAUAAGAACUUAUAAAUACAUCAACUAGGAAUUAUAAAUGUAUGAAGUCAAGUUGUGUUGAUGUACCCACAAUUUUUGUUAAGGCUUAGUAUAUUAAAGAAGUAUGAUAUUAUACCGAUGUACGAUUGGAAGGUUGGGAUGGCUGU